GAGGGUAUAGCUCAGUGGUAGAGCACGUGCUUAACAUGCACAAGGUCCUGGGUUCAAUCCCCAGUACCUCCA
rnacentral:tRNA from 1 species